GAUGAACGCUGGCGGCGUGCCUCAAACAUGCAAGUCGAGCGAGGCUAUGAAUUACCGCAAGGUAAGGCAUAGCCUAGCGGCGAACGGGUGAGUAACACGUGGGUAACCUACCUGGAAGACAGGGAUAACGAUUCGAAAGGGUCGCUAAUACCUGAUAAUAUCCAUCUGCCGGAUGGCGGAGGGAAGAAAGGGGAAACCCGCUUUCAGAUGGGCCCGCGUCCCAUCAGCUAGUUGGUAAGGUAAAGGCUUACCAAGGCGACGACGGGUAGCCGGUCUGAGAGGAUGUACGGCCACACUGGGACUGAGAUACGGCCCAGACUCCUACGGGAGGCAGCAGUUGGGAAUCUUAGGCAAUGGACGAAAGUCUGACCUAGCGACGCCGCGUGAGGGAAGAAGGCCUUCGGGUUGUAAACCUCUGUCAUGGGGAAGAAGGAAGUGACGGUACCCAACGAGGAAGCCCUGCUAACUACGUG
rnacentral:rRNA from 1 species